CCUACGGGAGGCAGCAGUGGGGAAUAUUGCACAAUGGGGGAAACCCUGAUGCAGCGACGCCGCGUGAGUGAAGAAGUAUUUCGGUAUGUAAAGCUCUAUCAGCAGGGAAGAUAAUGACGGUACCUGACUAAGAAGCCCCGGCGAACUACGUGCCAGCAGCCGCGGUAAUACGUAGGGGGCAAGCGUUCUCUGGAUUUACUGGGUGUAAAGGGUGCGCAGGUGGCAGGGCAAGUCAGAUGGGAAAGCCCGGGGAGGAACCGGGGAGGGGCAUUGGAAACUGGGCGGCGUGAGGGCAGAAGAGGAGAGAGGAAGUCCAAGUGUAGAGGUGAAAGGCGUAGAUAGAUGGAGGAACACCAGGGGGGAAGGCGGC
rnacentral:rRNA from 1 species